CUACGGAGGGAGCAAGCGUUAUGCGGAAUCACUGGGCGUAAAGGACGCGUAGGCGGGUUUGUAAGUCAGGUGUGAAAUCCUACAGCUCAACUGUAGAACUGCACUUGAAACUACAGACCUAGAGUAUGGAAGGGGCAGAUGGAAUUAGUGGUGUAGGGGUAAAAUCCGUAGAUAUCACUAGGAAUACCGAAAGCGAAGGCGAUCUGCUGGGACAUUACUGACGCUGAGGCGUGAAAGCGUGGGGAGCAAACAGGAUUAGAAACCCCAGUAGUCC
rnacentral:rRNA from 1 species